CAGGAAAGCUCUCCCUCCUCUGUAUGUCACUGACACUUGAAUCUCUCUUCAUCAAAAGCAGCCUGAAGUAAGCACAGCAAUUGCUGCCCAGCACGAGCAAAGAACCCCCACACUUCUGGCAGACCAGUUUUUGUCAGUCAUGUCUCAUGUGCUGUUCAUUAUCUGGAUGAGAUCAGCUGAUGAAGUGUUGAAACUGAGCUUUUCCACAGGUGGAUUCAUUUGUGACUGUGAGGGGAAUGUAAAUCUGUGACUUUAACUUUUGAUUGUGCCUACAAUAAUGGGCUUCAUAAAGUACGGUUCUGUCUUUUGGUACCAUCAUUCUUUGAGCAUGAAUCAACGUGCAAGAAAAAUGAAGAUGAAUAUGUAGAAAAAUAAAAAUCAGUGUGAGUAAAUCAAAGCCUGUUUGUAACG
rnacentral:lncRNA from 1 species